UACGUAGGGUGCAAGCGUUGUCCGGAAUUAUUGGGCGUAAAGAGCUCGUAGGCGGUUUGUCGCGUCGAAUGUGAAAACCCGGGGCUCAACCCCGGGCCUGCAUUCGAUACGGGCAGACUAGAGUUCGGUAGGGGAGUCUGGAAUUCCUGGUGUAGCGGUGAAAUGCGCAGAUAUCAGGAGGAACACCGGUGGCGAAGGCGGGACUCUGGGCCGAUACUGACGCUGAGGAGCGAAAGCGUGGGGAGCAAACAAG
rnacentral:rRNA from 1 species